AAAAGUAUUCAUAAAACCGUUAUUUUUACGCGAAAUGAUAAAAAUUAUACAUCAAUCGAUAGGGAAUUUCACUGUCUUUAAUUUGAGACCACAUUCAAGUUCACCAGCAUCCGCGAACAAUCGAAAAAGUUGGACUUUUUACAUAAAAACUUCGAAAUCCGUGUAUUUUUAAUAGCACAGAGGAAUGUUUUGCCUACCAGGACUACCAGGAGUGAUAAGAACAGGCAGAGAGUAUGCAACCCGCGGAUUGUAGAAAAGCCCAAAUUUCUUUUAUCUAAUUUUUGCCGGUUGGCGCUGAAAAGUGGUUGUGAAAGUGAAUCUGAAUGAUGAAUUUAGAAUUUAUCAUUGUUUUACUAAUAACAUGGAGUUGUGAUGGGAAUCUGGCUGGAGUCGUGAGAGGAAUCUGGUUGGAGUCGUGAGAGGAUCCUAAGAUGAGUCGUGAGUGGAAUCUGAAUCGGAGUCGCGAAAGGAA